rnacentral:rRNA from 1 species
AGUGAACGCUGGCGGUAGGCCUAACACAUGCAAGUCGAACGGCAGCACAGUAAGAGCUUGCUCUUACGGGUGGCGAGUGGCGGACGGGUGAGGAAUACAUCGGAAUCUACUUUUUCGUGGGGGAUAACGUAGGGAAACUUACGCUAAUACCGCAUACGACCUACGGGUGAAAGCAGGGGAUAUUCGCACCUUGCGCGAUUGAAUGAGCCGAUGUCGGAUUAGCUAGUUGGCGGGGUAAAGGCCCACCAAGGCGACGAUCCGUAGCUGGUCUGAGAGGAUGAUCAGCCACACUGGAACUGAGACACGGUCCAGACUCCUACGGGAGGCAGCAGUGGGGAAUAUUGGACAAUGGGCGCAAGCCUGAUCCAGCCAUACCGCGUGGGUGAAGAAGGCCUUCGGGUUGUAAAGCCCUUUUGUUGGGAAAGAAAAGCAGCAGGUUAAUACCCCGCUGUUCUGACGGUACCCAAAGAAUAAGCACCGGCUAACUUCGUG